rnacentral:lncRNA from 1 species
CUUACGCUCGCACUGCCUCAGCGCCCCACGAAUGACCCGGGAGCUGAGAUAAUCCCUAAGGUGGAGACUCGGAAAAGAUUAUUCCAGAACAACAGACAGGCAGAGAAGAGCAGAAGACAAGAGAAGCACCCCCAGGGAAAAUGGUCAGUCUCUCAAGUUUCACCCAGGAAGUUUGAUCUGAGCAUUGGGUGCUGCUGUGGACUACAAAUGGUUGGAGAAGUCAAAGGACUGUGGGUGCUCCAUAUUCAUCCUCCUGCUGCUGGCUUCAGAGAAGGAGAGCAUCCCAUCAGGGGAGCCAUGCCUGUGCAUGCCAGGCAGUGACCAUAGGGCUGUGCCAAGCGACAGGAGGACAACUGCCAGGAACACAGGGUUGGACACACAACAAGCUGUAACUGAUUGUUGGUUUCAGUGAACCUUCAGGAGUGAGCAAACACAAUCACAUGAAAGAGCUGGGAACCAAGCCUGGCCUGACGGAACCUGCAUUUCCUUCCCGGCCAACGAUAGAAGAGAAACAAAGUGCUACGUUUACUACAGAUGCAAUAGUGUCCUCUAGUGGCAGCUCAAAAUUGUCGCUUAAAAACCAUUAGAAAAAUUAGAAUUGUCCUGUUAGGACAAUCUAUACACUCUUUCAGAUAAUAUCAGAGACCUUAUUUUUAAACUCUAUACCUUAACCAAAGAAUCAUCAGAGUUUUUAAUUAUUGAGAGUUUAGUACAUUUCUCAUCAUGUGUCGUCAUAAGACAAUUCACCUUUUCCCCCACCAAAAAUUCUCAGCCAUGAACCACUAUAAAUUUGGCAGUAAAGAUUUUGGAAUAGCAGUGGUGAAUAAAGAGACUAAAAUCCUCUUUUGAUGCCUUCAUAGCUAUUAGAUAAUUCUACCUUACGAUCACGGCAACAUGCUAUUUUAAGUUAAGCCUUAAAUACUAUUU